ACAGACACGCUGUUCUGGCGUUAACUUACUACCUUGUGAAAGCACAGAGGGCUUAAUGAUUAAAGGACAGAAGGACUGGAGUUUGCUGGUGGCCAGCCUGUGAGGAGUCAUCUACCUGGCCUCCAGUACAGGAGACAGAUGUGGAAAGAAGAAAGAAAAAGAAUGAACAAUACUGAAGUCCUGUGGCAGGUGAUCCCAGGAGUCUUCACUUAAUAAAUCCUAAAUGUCUUGGCCCAAUUAGCAAGGAAACUAAAACUAAAGAGGGUUGCAUCAAAUUCAUGACAUAAAACUUUUAAAAAGAUGA
rnacentral:lncRNA from 1 species